rnacentral:lncRNA from 1 species
GCCGUCUCCCCCAUCCAUCCACUCUCUGCCCCCUCCCUCCAUCCUUCAGGACUCUCUAUCUUAACAUGGCUCUUGCAAACACCCGGACCCACCCACUGACCCCAGAGCACCCCCUACCCAUGUGUUUGGCCAGGGGACACCCCCACACUGGCCCCAUCAUGUGCCUGGUGGCCCCGAGGCUGCAGCACAGGGUGCCUGUCUGGCCCUAGACCUGCCCUGGGGCCUUCUCUCUGCCACGGCUCACAGGACAAACCUGAAUAAUUGCUGUCCUCCCUCUGAAAUGGUGGCCAUGGGGGUGCAGGGAAGUCUUCACAUCCCUCCUGUGCCCAGGCCCUCACCCCCACACUCUGGCUGGCUGCAUCUGCUGUCCAGAGCCCUUGGUCACAAGGCGUGCAGCCCGGACCACAGUGAUGACAAGGGAGGCCCUUCCUAAGCCUAGAAAUGCUCUAAACCUUCAUGGAACUGCUGGUCCCAGUGCCAGCCAGAGUCCCAGGUGAGGCUGAGGUGGCUCAAGGUGGUGCACGGGAGAUGUCUGACAUCAACCCUCUCCAGCCUGGUGACUUCCCUGGCCUCCAGCCACCACCCGCCCCACAAUGUCCCCAAAGCUGAAGAUACAAGCUUGCCCUGGCCCUGGUCCUGGCACAGAAAGUGCAUGAUCUGGUCAUGUCAUGCAGAGCCCAAGAAACUCUGCCCGCAGCUUCUGACGGUCAUUAACCAGUUUCUGACCAAGGACAAGAACACCUACAUGGAUUCUGUCAACAGAUACCACCUCACGGAGCUGGAAAGAAACACAGCCUCCAAACUCAAGGACUGCGUGACCGACACAAUGACCCCCGAGGAGACACAGGCCGUCGUGCAGCAGGAAGAAAUCAACAACCAGUGUGCCGACACGUUAUUGAAGUAACACCAGCCACGGGCACCUUGGGUUCCUGUCCAGGCUGCCUGUCCCACCCAUGAGAAUCUGGGCCCAGGGCCCCGCCCUCCCCAGCUCCCGCCCUGCUGCUGCCUCUACUGCCUCUCCUGCUGUGCUGAUUGGGGCAAGCCUGGGAACAGCUGCCCCCCAACCCCCCCCCCACCCAGGCCUGUCCCCUGCGGGACAAUGCUGCCUAAUAAACUCACCUGCAUCCAUCCAGCUUCUGUGUGUGUUUUUCAGCCAAAGGGGAAGUGGGA